CACCGGCAGCUCUAGUGGUAGCAAUUUUUAUUGGGCCUAAAGCGUCCGUAGCCGGUUUAAUAAGUCUCUGGUGAAAUCCUGUAGCUUAACUGUGGGAAUUGCUGGAGAUACUAUUAGACUUGAGAUCGGGAGAGGUUAGAGGUACUCCCAGGGUAGAGGUGAAAUUCUGUAAUCCUGGGAGGACCGCCUGUUGCGAAGGCGUCUAACUGGAACGAUUCUGACGGUGAGGGACGAAAGUUAGGGGCGCGAACCGGAUUAGAUACCCGGGUAGUCCUAACUGUAAACGAUGCGGACUUGGUGUUGGGGUGGCUUUGAGCUGCUCCAGUGCCGAAGGGAAGCUGUUAAGUCCGCCGCCUGGGAAGUACGGUCGCAAGACUGAAACUUAA
rnacentral:rRNA from 1 species